GGCGGCCAUAGCGAAUUUCGGCAAGAUUUUACCCCAGUGAAAAAGGCUUGUAAUUUACCCUGAUCAGCUGAGAUGUUAUUUCACUGAAUUAUCUAAUGGAUAGACUUAUUGGGCAUAUAUUUGGAUAAUUCUGUCCUCAACCUGGAAGAUAUGUAUUGUUCCUAACCAUCUAUAAUCCAUUCUCUAUGAAGUUCAGACUGUCUGCUCUUCCUUUGGAAAUACACAGUUAGUCAACCAACAAAGAAACAAACAAACUUGAAGGAUUCUCUAGUGAGGGCUUAUGGAAAUGAUCUAUAUCUACUCUCAGAAUGGUGAAAGACUAUCAGAUUAAGCAAAGACUAACAGAAUAUCCUCUCUUGGAACACUGAAACAAGAAAAUCAAACAGGAGAUGAAUGGAGAUCAUAGAUAAAUAUGAUUUCCAACCAAUUUAACCAGUAUUAUCAUAGACUGUGGUUUACAGGAUGACAAAGAAAGGACCCAGGAUUGUAUCUUUUUACUGUCAGACACUGUCUAUGGAUAAGAUGUAGCUAUUUAUCAGACUGAGAUCUAGUCAAAUCAAGUACAAUUGUAUUGAAAACAUGAUUUUCUGAUAGCAUGAACUCUUUGAAAAUUAAUUCUCACGGACUUCAAAUUAUCUAAAUGUGACUUUUAUUUUUACCAAUUCCUAUUGAAGACAGUUGUUGUAUAUGAGAAGUAUACAUUUAAACCUUUUAUUUUGCAUCUUAUUUCUAUAACCCCCCCUAGAAAUUACACAGAUAUUCAGAUGCUAGAUUUAAUGUUAUUAUUACUUUCCUGGAAAUGUAAAUAUAUUUUGUUUGUGUAUGUAUCAUGUUUAAUUUUGAAUUUAAAAUUGGUCUGAAUAAGACCCCCAAUAAAGAUGCAAGUGUCCCAUAAUCUGUGGUUUAAUAAUAUCUUGAAUAUCUUUAUCAUACCAUAUUCAUCAUACUAAUUACAUAUAGAAUGGUUGUAGGAAUACACUUUGUUGUUUAGCACACUUUGUUGUUUAGCACACUUUGUCAAGGUCAAAGCAUAAGAUUAUUGAGAUGACUUCUUUGACAAUAAUUUGUAACUUACAAACUUCACAUCAUAAAUACACAGAUGAAGAAUCAAUAAGAUAUUUCUAUAGAUUUUUUGGAUCAUUUACUCCUGGGUAAAAGUUAGUUACUAACUGAGAUUACUGAUUUGAGUCCUGUAAUGCAAUAACUUAAACAUUGUGUGAUAACUUAUAGACUUUAUAAAAAUUAGGUGCAAAUUCUUAGGAAAGGAUUGAAAUGUUAAUCAAAUGUACAAUGUUCAAGGGUGUUUAUAUGACUAUUACUAUGUAAUACCUUAGAAUUCUGUAAAAAUUUUAUUAUCACUGCGUAGAUAAAGACUGGUUGGAAUAAUUUAUGUUUUGAAAUAAGGUUUAGGGAAAAAAGUCAAGAAUGUGGAUAUGACUUUUAUUCAAAUGGUGCAUUACAGCAACUCUGGUGAUUUACAUACCUUCAGUCAUAAAUACAUGUAGAUAGGUAUUUGGAAGACUCCGUUAGAUUUUGAAAUUUUU